GUGUGGGACUCUGUUGCAGCGGAAGUACGUCACGGUCGAAGGGCUGUCCAGUGAGGUGUAUCACUGAGGGUGAAGACGUGCGUGCAGACAAGGUGGCGGGUGUCAUCUGUGUGUCUCGACGAGAAGACGGAAGCUCAAGCGUAUAGUGGGGCGGUGUACCCGUGAAGGUGAGUCUCUUCAAUGAGGACAUGUCUCUACGUGGAGCUAUGGGUUUAGCUAGCACGUAUUGCGCUAGGUGUGGACGGUGUAGUCCAUGCGGGAGCUAGCGUGACUGGGAGUCUGGAUCAUACGUUGAGUGUAGUCAACAAGUCGUGAAGCUGCGGAGAGUCAAGUUCAGGGGGAGCACGAGGAGACGGCAAGUCAAGAUUAGGGGGAGAUUGUUAGAAUAAUCUUGUUGUAUGAGUCCGUUUAGAACUGGUCUGUCCUGAGUUCGAGUAGUACCACUAGUACGAGUCUAAUUAGCUUUGCACAUUAAGUCCUAGUCCUAUUAGGAUUAGGUGAUUUUGGGUGUAUAUAUAGAUGCACUAGGGUCAGCUUUUGUAACGUGGGAUUUGAGAUAUUGAGAAGAAAUAAAAAUAUCGUGCCUCUAGCCAAAUAAAUUCUCGAUCGUGUGCGUCUUUAUGUGACUGAUCUUUGGGCAAACCCAACAGACACAUCCGUAUUUGAGCAAAUUUGAGACAACUAAUACCGGUCGGAAAAAGUAGUAUAUAUUAAAUCCGAUGUGUAAAACGUUUCAUGUGCGACUAUUCAAGAAUAUAAGAAAGAGCCAAAAAUAUUGCUUAGUUACUUACAAUAUAUAGGUUAUUUGGUAAUUUGGAAUUGGGGGAAUUGCGCCUGCCGUACAGCAUUGGCUAGGCAUAAUGCAAUGUAUACAAGAGGAAAGGAAGAGAAAAAAAAAAUAGGAAAGCACUAAAAUAGAAGAGGAAAAAAAGAAGGAAAAUCCAACAGAAGCCGAAGCGGGAGCAGAUACGUACUCCUAGUUUCCUUUUUUUCUCCCUAUUUUCCUUUUUUAAUAUAGCUUUUAUAGUACAAUAAAGAGUACCACAGGUUUUGAGGCAGACUUUUCAAUGAGCCCCCAUUUUUGCUAAUUUGUUCAUAAAAUCACACGUUUUGUGUCCAAUUGUCUCACAUCACCCAAAACAACGGUUUAAACGCAUUUGACAGUAUUUCUUACAUGUGGGUCCCGCAUGUAAGGCAUCACGUCUUUUUCAUUAGACCCCUUGUCUUUUUCUUUUUUUCCUCGUCCCCUCGUCUUCUUCUGCCUUGAGCAUCUUUUUUAACUGGCCAUGGGAAUUUACCCGAUGCAGCGCAGCCACCGCAAGCAACAGACGCACAAACACGCACGAACCCCCUUCUCUCUCUCGAUCGAUUCAUCCGGCUACUCAGUGGCGUGCGUUGCCAUGUAGAGAGUCUAUGAGACCAUCCUAGCUAGAGGUGCAUGGCCAUGGCCCUCCCUUGCAAUUGCACACGUACAGAUCGACCGGUGGUCCUUGACGAGAAAAUCCAAGCA
rnacentral:lncRNA from 1 species